rnacentral:rRNA from 1 species
UACGUAGGGGCGAGCGUUGUCCGGAAUGAUUGGGCGUAAAGGGCGCGUAGGCGGCUGUGCAAGUCAGUAGUGGAAGCCCAGCUUUUAAGGUUGGAAGUGCUAUUGAAACUGUGCAGCUUGAGUGCAGGAGAGGUUAUCGGAAUUCCCGGUGUAGCGGUGAAAUGCGUAGAGAUCGGGAGGAACACCAGUGGCGAAGGCGGUGACUGGACUGCAACUGACGCUGAGGCGCGAAAGUGUGGGGAGCAAAUAGGAUAGAUA